rnacentral:rRNA from 1 species
CCAAUCGAACCCGGAGAUAGCUGGUUCUCCUCGAAAUAGCUUUAGGGCUAGCCUCAUGGAUCAUUGGUGGGGGUAGAGCACUGAAUGUGCGCGGGGGCCACAAAGCCUACCAAACGCUAUCAAACUUCGAAUACCAUACAAUGCAGACCAUGGGAGUCAGUCCGCGAGAGAUAAGUUCCGCGGGCAAAAGGGGAACACCCCAGAUCAACCGCUAAGGUCCCCAAGUUCACGUUAAGUGGAGAAGGAUGUGGAAUUGCACAGACAACCAGGAUGUUGGCUCAGAAGCAGCCACACAUUUAAAGAGUGCGUAAUAGCUCACUGGUCGAGUGAUUGUGCGCCGAAGAUGUCCGGGGCUAAACGUGACACCGAAGCGAUGGGUGCAUCUGAAAGGAUGCGCGGUAGAGGAGCAAUGUGCAGAGGCAGAAGCCGUAUCGAGAGGCACGGUGGACACUGCACAAGAGAGAAUGCCGGUAUGAGUAGCGAGAGGCAUGCGAGAAACAUGCCCGUCGAAAGCCCAAGGUUUCCUGGGGAAGGUUCAUCCGCCCAGGGUAAGUCGGGGCCUAAGCCGAGGACGGAAGUCGUAGGCGAUGGACAGCAGGUGUAGAUUCCUGCACUACCGAUGGAAUGAAGCAGUGACACAGAAGGAUAACUCGAGCAGGGUGAUGGUCAACCCUGUGCAAGCAUUGAGGUUGGGUUGUAGUGAAGUACGCAAUCCUAUAAGCUGAGAUGUGAUGCGGACCGAAAUUUCAGUAGGGAAGCGAGUGAGUUCACGCUGGCGAGAAAAGCUGCUAGUACAUCCAAAGGUACCCGUACCGGAAACCGACGCAGGUGGGCGAGGAGAGAAUCCUGAGACGAACGGGAGAACCCUUGUUAAGGAACUCGGCAAAAUGACCCCGUAACUUCGGGAUAAGGGGUGCCUGCGAGAGCAGGCCGCAGAGAAUAGUCACAAGCGACUGUUUAGCAAAAACACAGGUAUCUGCGAAAGCGAGAGCUGACGUAUAGGUGCUGACACCUGCCCGGUGCUGGAAGGUUAAGGGAACAUGUUAGAGCAAUCGAAGCAUCGAACCGAAGCCCCAGUAAACGGCGGCCGUAACUAUAACGGUCCUAAGGUAGCGAAAUUCCUUGUCGGGUAAGUUCCGACCCGCACGAAUGGUGUAACGACUUGUGAGCUGUCUCAACAGGGGGCCCGGUGAAAUUGAAGUAUGGGUGAAGAUGCCCAUUACCCGCGACUGGACGGAAAGACCCCGUAGAGCUUUACUGCAGCCUGAUAUUGAGUUUCGGUAACUGAUGCACAGGAUAGGUGGGAGUCUGAGAGACAUGGGUUUCGGCUCAUGAGGAGACGAUGUUGGGAUACCACUCUUCGGUUACUGAAAUUCUAACAUAGCUCUGUGAAACCAGAGGAUGGACAGUGUCAGGUGGACAGUUUGACUGGGGCGGUCGCCUCCGAAAGAGUAACGGAGGCGCCCAAAGGUACCCUCAGAAUGGAUGGAAACCAUUCGAAGAGCGCAAAGGCAGAAGGGUGCCUGACUGCGAGAUUGACAAAUCGAGCAGAGACGAAAGUCGGGCUUAGUGAUCCGGCGGUAUUGAGUGGAAAAGCCGUCGCUUAACGGAUAAAAGCUACCUCGGGGAUAACAGGCUGAUCUCCCCCAAGAGUCCACAUCGACGGGGAGGUUUGGCACCUCGAUGUCGGCUCAUCGCAUCCUGGGGCUGUAUUCGGUCCCAAGGGUUUGGCUGUUCGCCAAUUAAAGCGGCACGCGAGCUGGGUUCAGAACGUCGUGAGACAGUUCGGUCCCUAUCCAUCGUGGGCGUAGGAGUCAUGAGAGGAGCUGUUCCUAGUACGAGAGGACCGGAAUGGACGCACCACUGGUGCAACUGUUGUCGUGCCAACGGCAUAGCAGGGAAGCGAAGUGCGGAUGGGAUAAACGCUGAAGGCAUCUAAGCGUGAAGCCCACCUCAAGAAUAAGACUCCACAAUAGACCCCUGGAGGACUACCAGGUAGAUAGGUCAUCGGUGGAAGCGCUGUAAGGCGUGUAGCUUGAUGAUACUAAUCGGUCGAAAGCUUCAUUUA